GGACCCUGGACAGCCCCCCGGCAGACCAACUGAGGCGACAACCGGCAGCACCAUGGACAGGGCUGCAGCAGAGGGAAGAAGAGGGUGUGAAGACCUGGAGCGGAGCACUGAUACCCCGACCGGGAAGACUUUUUAGUUGGUUUUGGCUCCCCCUACCCCUACCCCCACUCAUUACAAGUAUUAAAGACCUUUUUUGUUAAACACUA